rfam:Delta proteobacterium MLMS-1 ctg720, whole genome shotgun sequence.
CGCGGGGUGGAGCAGUUCGGUAGCUCGUCGGGCUCAUAACCCGAAGGUCGGAGGUUCAAAUCCUCCCCCCGCUA